CAGUCAUCAGCCGUCCAGUGCCGGUGAAUUGUUGUGUCGGAAUCGCUUAGAUCGGUCCAUGUUCAUUUUACGUUGCGAUAAAAGUUAGUCAAGUUAUUUCAGAGUUUGCACUUUUUGUGAUCCCGGCUGCUGCACAAAAUGGAUAACGUAUCUGUCUCGAAGGGUGUUUUCAGCUACAAGGGUAGUUAUAAGAUUGGUCAAAAAAGAAAAAAAGCUGUACAUGCGUUUCAAGAUGAACCGUGGUACAUUGCUUAUAAACAAACGUGGUCUACCAUACAGAAAGCUGCAGAGGCAAUUAAUUCCAAUAUGUUUAAACAAAUUCUCUUGGAUUUACACUCUUACGUUUCUAACAUGGACUAUGAUACGAUAGAUGGUGAAUCAUAUAAUAUUCCUACAGCCAUUUUAUUAACAGGCGUAAAUUUACCUGAUCACGAGAUAUUGUUUCAAAAGUUAACGGCUAGAUUUAAAACGAUAACGCCGCAUAUUGCGAUUAUACAAUCUAGGGACUCUAGUAACUUAAAGAACGUUAUGGAGGAGACGGUAUAUCAACUGAUUAACGGCGAUAAUAAGAAUAAGACACAGAAAGUUCGUAAGAAUCAAUGUACAUUCCGUGCCUUAAAAUUAUGGUAUAAAGAAUCAUGCGAUCCGGAUACACCACUAAUUAUCAUUUUUCCGGAUUUUGAGAGAAUUCCGGCUCGCGUAUUAAGAGAUUUUAUUUUAAUAUUGAGUGUAUAUAUAAAAGAAGUAAAGUUCGUAUUGAUAUUUGGCGUCGCGACAACUUUACACGCGGUGCACAGAGCACUCACGUAUGACGUUACUUCGAAAUUACAAGUAAAGGUUUUUCGUACACAAACUCAAAUGAAAAGUUUAUCAGAUAUACUGGAGGGUACAGCAUUAUCUGGGAACGUGCCGUUUAAAUUGACAGGAAGAGCAUUUCAAUUGCUAAUAGAUAUAUUUCUCUUUUAUGAUUUUUCCGUGGAUGGCUUUCUACAAGGUUAUAAGCUAUGCAUGAUGCAACACUUUUACGGGAACAACGUUAAUGCCCUUUGCUGCCAGCGGGAAAACGUCAAGAAGGUUUUAUCCGGUCUGAAUUUAGAGGAUCUAGAGAAGAUCAGAGAGAUCCCAAGCAUAGUAGAGUACAUAAAAAAUACACGUAAACACAAGGAAACGCGUAGACCAACUAAUCGGGAAUUAAUGGAUGUCACGGCAAAGCUGAUAAAAGAGUUUCACGAUAAAAUUGGGAUUUUUCUAACGCUACUCAAGUGUCUACAUGUGCUCGUUCGUGCGCUGCCGGGUGCGCCACUUGGCAAGCAGCUGCGUGAACUCUAUGGCACGGCGGUUACGACGACGUUGACGGAAACCACGGAGUACAAGGAGUGUCUACAACUUCUUGGGUUUCUCUCUAAGGGAGAUUUUCUCACGAUGCUGGAGACUAUAGAGGAAAUUAUCGAUGAGAACGUUGAUACAGUUCCAGAAGAUUUUCAAGAAAAAUUGAAAAAUCACAUAAAUACUAUUAGACACGCCAGUCUAGAGAUCGUGGAAGGACCUACAGAAAUCCUUUCCGCAGACCAAAAAUUAAAUAGAGCUCAAUUGCGCCAGAAACUUCUACUAAUGUCUCAGAAGCAUUCUCGUUCGCCCUUCAAGCAAGCGCAAUUGGAUCUAAUCGUUUAUCUAGAUCGUGAAGUAUUCUCAGUUUACUUAAAAAAUCCAUCUCAGCUACCAGCAAAUGAGAUAUUUUGUUAUAGCGAUGGUACUGUAGCAAAAUGUCAUAUACGUGGUUCCUUAAGAGCCUCCAUACAUACAGCUCUGAACAAUCCCCAGGUGUAUCUAGAGUGCACCUGCUGCAAUCUGGAAAACGACGAAGCGAUACUCCCGUGCUUACCGGAUCUUAGUAUCGUAUACAAGCUUCACUUGGAGAGUAGAAAGCUAAUCAACAUGUAUGACUGGCUUCAGGCGUUCCUGACCAUCGUAAACCCAAACGAGGAGGCUGAGGAGCAACAGGAAGUUGACGCCCAAGUGCAGGCUCGAUUUACUCGUGCGGUAGCCGAGCUGCAAUUUAUGGGCUUCAUUAAAUCAUCGAGAAGAAAAACGGAUCACGUUAAACGAUUAACCUGAUUGAAGCGAAGAAGCAUACUUUAUUUAUUUUUCAUCUUCAUGUUGAAUUUUGAAAAAUUCACGCACGUAUCAUGCUAUACUACUCUCUAAAUUUAUAAUCAGUUCUAUUUCGAACGCUAAUCUGUUUCACGAGGUAUAACGGCAAGAGCAAUAUGCCCAGAGUUGUAGUCACUCAUGGGAUUUCAAAAUUUUGGCAUUGUGACAAUGAGAUAUUCAGGGAUACGCGUUGACUGUCAUUGAAUUACCGCGAUAACACUAUUGUACCAGGCGGUCUCGUUUCGAAUGCUGUGCCACGGGAUUCACGAUGAAUAAACAGGAAGAACUGAUUAUUAAACAACGAUACUGGUUAGAUGAGCAUCACAGCGAUUAUACACAAUCUGCGCAUAUGAAGAUAUUUCGAAAAUGUGAAUCGUUUACCGAUUUUAUCCUGUAUGAGAAAAAUACGUAAAUACAACUGCAGUUGUUCUGAAGCAUUUAAUCAAGGAAGCAAUAUCGAUGAUCGAUUUUACGACCAACUACUAAGAUUGACCAUUAGGAUACGGAGAAAUCUAUAGGAGCAUCCCUGAAGGAACCAUACGUAUCGUUCCCAUUCCAUUCGGAUAGCAAACUAGAUUAAUAAUCAUUAAUCCAACGCAUCAAUUCCACGUCGUAGCCAGAUAAGAAUUCACGUGAGGUAUGUGACGCUAGGUCGGAUCACUCAUCAAUAUUCGAGCAGUUCGGUGGAAACGCCAUCAAGCCCAUCCAUCCAUUUUCAGAUCGGUUUUCUCUUUUUUUCCAGUUUCUUCUCCUUUUUCAUCUUCAUCCAACUUAAAGAACGUUCAGCAGUAUUAUGUAGAAUGAAUUUACGAAUUAUUUAACGCUUGAGAUACAUGUUAAUGAUGCGCCUCAUAUAUUUACAUUGGAUAUCGGUAACAGAAUAUUGGAUAUGAUCAUUUUGUAAUACUCAGUAGGAUCUUCGUU